rnacentral:rRNA from 1 species
UACAGAGGGUGCAAACGUUGCUCGGAAUUAUUGGGCGUAAAGCGCGUGUAGGCGGCUUGUUAAGUCGGUUGUGAAAACCCAUGGCUCAACCAUGGAAGGGCGUCCGAAACUGGCAAGCUAGAGUCCUGACGAGGAUGGCGGAAUUCCCAGUGUAGAGGUGAAAUUCGUAGAUAUUGGGAGGAACACCGGUGGCGAAGGCGGCCAUCUGGGAAGGCACUGACGCUGAGACGCGAAAGCGUGGGGAGCAAACAGG